CCUACGGGAGGCAGCAGUGAGGAAUAUUGGUCAAUGGCCGUAAGGCUGAACCAGCCAAGUCGCGUGAGGAGUACUUCCCUAUGGGUUGUUAACCUCCUUUGUCGGGGAGCAAAAGCCGGACGUGUCCGGCCGUGAGAGUACCCGAAGAAAAAGCAUCGGCUAACCCCGUGCCAGCAGCCGCGGUAAUACGGAGGAUGCGAGCGUUAUCCGGAUUUAUUGGGUUUAAAGGGUGCGCAGGCGGAUUUUUAAGUCAGCGGUCAAAUCGUGGGGCUCAACCCCAUCCAGCCGUUGAAACUGGGGAUCUAGAGUGUGCGAGAGGUAUGCGGAAUGCGUGGUGUAGCGGUGAAAUGCAUAGAUAUCACGCAGAACCCCGAUUGCGAAGGCAGCAUACCGGUGCACAACUGACGCUCAGGCACGAAAGCGUGGGUAUCGAACAGGAUUAGAUACCCCGGUAGUC
rnacentral:rRNA from 1 species